GAUGAGGUGGCUAGCUGAUGUUGAUGUGGAUGCCGAGGUGGUGCUCCAAGGGUGUGCAAAGGUGGUGGUAGAAACCUGACUUGGCUUUCUUUCUGACUCAAUGAUUUUAUUUACAGGACUCGAUCAAAUUUAAGUUAGCCACAGUGACCUUGAGUUAAUUGAUUGGAAUCUUUUUCGGAUUCUGGUGCCCGCACCACUAGCAUUUGUACUCAUUGGCCCACAUACAUCAGAAUGUACAAGGGUCAAUAAAUCACUAGCUCGUUCACCUUUUCCGGUAAAAGGUGAUUUGG
rnacentral:lncRNA from 1 species